rnacentral:pre_miRNA from 1 species
UGGCCACACCUAAAAGCUCAGCAUUAAGGUGGGUGGGAUAAUAUAACAAUAUCCUCUUUGUUGUUAUAGUAUUCCACCUACCCUGAUGUUUCCUU